rnacentral:rRNA from 1 species
CCUACGGGAGGCAGCAGCAAGGAAUCUUCCGCAAUGGGCGAAAGCCUGACGGAGCAACGCCGCGUGUGGGAUGACGCCUUUCGGGGUGUAAACCACUUUUCUCAGGGAAGAAGCACUGACGGUACCUGAGGAAGAAGGACCGGCUAACUACGUGCCAGCAGCCGCGGUAAUACGUAGGGUCCGAGCGUUGCCCGGAGUUACUGGGCGUAAAGCGCGCGCAGGCGGCGGUGUAAGCAUGGCGUGAAAGCCCCUGGCUUAACCAGGGAGGGUCGUCGUGGACUGCACCGCUUGAGGGCGGUAGGGGCUGGUGGAAUGCCUGGUGUAGUGGUGAAAUGCGUAGAGAUCAGGCGGAACACCCGUGGCGAAGGCGGCCAGCUGGGCCGUCCCUGACGCUGAGGCGCGAAGGCGUGGGGAGCGAACGGGAUUAGAUACCCCGGUAGUCCACGCAGUAAACGAUGCAGACUAGGCGUGGGGGGAGUGACCCCCUCCGUGCCGGAGCCAACGCGGGAAGUCUGCCGCCUGGGGAUACGCCGGCAAGGCUAAAACUCAAAUGAAUUGACGG